rnacentral:rRNA from 1 species
AGAGUUUGAUCCUGGCUCAGAUUGAACGCUGGCGGCGUGGCUAAAGCAUGCAAGUCGAACGUACCCGCAAGGGUAAGUGGCGGAAGGGUUAGUAAUACCAUCGAACGCACCCCGAGGUGGUGGAUAGCCGUGGGAAACUGCGGGUAAUACACCAUGAUCUCCAUGGAGCAAAGCCUUGUGCGCCUUGGGAACGGCGAUGGACCUAUCAGGUAGUUGGCGGGGUAACGGCCCACCAAGCCGAAGACGGGUAGCCGGUGUGAGAGCACGACCGGCAACAUCGGGACUGAGACACUGCCCGGACUCCUACGGGAGGCUGCAGCGACGAAUCUUCCGCAAUGGGCGCAAGCCUGACGGAGCGACGCCGCGUGUGGGAUGAAGCGCCUUCGGUGUGUAAACCACUGUCAGGGGACGGAACCAACGAUUGUCCCCAAAGGAAGAGACGGCCAACCCUGUGCCAGCAGCCGCGGUAAUACAGGGGUCUCAAGCGUUAAUCGGAAUCACUGGGCUUAAAGGGUGCGUAGGCGGGCCCGUAAGCACUCCGUGAAAGCCCCCGGCUCAACCGGGGAACAGCGGGGUGUACUGCGGGCCUCGAGGCAGACAGGGGCGGUCGGAACUGUAGGUGGAGCGGUGAAAUGCGUAGAUAUCUACAGGAACGCCGAUGGUGAAGACGGGCCGCUGGGUCUGACCUGACGCUGAGGCACGAAAGCGUGGGGAUCAAACAGGAUUAGAUACCCUGGUAGUCCACGCCGUAAACGAUGCUCGCUGGAUCGGGGGUGCUCUGAUGCACUCCUGGUCGUAGCAAAAGCGCUAAGCGAGCCGCCUGGGGAGUACGGUCGCAAGGCUAAAACUCAAAGGAAUUGACGGGGGCUCACACAAGCGGUGGAGCAUGUUGCUUAAUUCGUCAACGCGAAGAACCUUACCUGGGCUUGACAUGGCCGGAUUAACUCCUGGAAACAGGAGCCACACCCGCAAGGGUGGAACGGUCACAGGUGCUGCAUGGCUGUCGUCAGCUCGUGCUGUGAAGUGUCGGGUUAAGUCCUCUAACGAGCGCAACCCCUGUCGCUAGUUGCUCACGGGUAAAGCCGAGUACUCUAGCGAGACUGCCGCUGUAAGGCGGAGGAAGGUGGGGAUGACGUCAAGUCCUCAUGGCCCUUACGUCCAGGGAUGCAAACGUGCUACAAUGGCGUGUACAGAGCGACCCAAGGCCGCAAGGCGGAGGAAAUCGCAAAAAAGCACGCCCCAGUUCGGAUUGCAGGCUGCAACUCGCCUGCAUGAAGUCGGAAUCGCUAGUAAUCGGAGAUCAGCUACGCUCCGGUGAAUAUGUUCCUGAGCCUUGUACACACCGCCCGUCAAGUCAUGGGAGC